UACGAAGGGGGCUAGCGUUGCUCGGAAUUACUGGGCGUAAAGGGCGCGUAGGCGGCACUGUUAGUCAGGCGUGAAAUUCCUGGGCUCAACCUGGGGACUGCGCUUGAUACGGCAGAGCUUGAGGAUGGAAGAGGGUCGCGGAAUUCCCAGUGUAGAGGUGAAAUUCGUAGAUAUUGGGAAGAACACCGGUGGCGAAGGCGGCGACCUGGUCCAUUACUGACGCUGAGGCGCGCAGCGU
rnacentral:rRNA from 1 species